GAGACUCAGGGGUAUGUAAAAAUUCAACGUAAUUCUCAUCAACCUGAAGGGAAAUGUGGCAUUGCUAUGUAUCCAAGUUAUCCCAUAAAAACAAAGCCAAAGGACAACGACAAUCUACUUGAAGAGAAGGCAGUGGAAGACACUCAUGCAGAUUGGCCUAAAACUGAUGCUGAAAGCAAGAUAGCCAUAGAAUGAUGAGUUGGAUUUGUAGAGAAUAAAGGACUGCUAAUUAAUUAAUAUUGUUUGUACUAUCAUGCAGUCUUGUACCCUCCCUUAACUUAUCAUGGGCGUUAUAUGUCUUAUAUCUAUGUUAGUUUCUAGUUUUCUAAUCUAUAAUAAGUGUUUGAAUGGAAUAAAAGCACAUCAUUGUGUUUAAAUGA